CCUANGGGGGGCUGCAGUCGAGAAUCUUUCGCAAUGGGCGCAAGCCUGACGAAGCGACGCUGUGUGAAUGAUGAAGGCCUUAGGGUUGUAAAGUUCUUUCGCGCAAGAACAAGAGAGGAGAACGAAUAAUUCUCUGAUUUGAGGGUACUGCGUAAAGAAGCACCGGCUAACUCCGUGCCAGCAGCUGCGGUAAUACGGAGGGUGCAAGCAUUAAUCGGAUUUAUUGGGCGUAAAGGGCGCGUAGGCGGGCCUACAAGUCAGAUGUGAAAUUCCGGGGCUCAACCCCGGAGCUGCAUUUGAAACUGUAGGUCUAUAGAGGGAUGACGGAGAAAAUGGAAUUCCACGUGUAGCGGUGAAAUGCGUAGAUAUGUGGAAGAACACCAGUGGCGAAAGCGGUUUUCUAGUUAUUACCUGACGCUGAGGCGCGAGAGCAAGGGGAGCAAACAGGAUUAGAUACCCUUNUANUC
rnacentral:rRNA from 1 species